AUUGAACGCUGGCGGCAUGCCUUACACAUGCAAGUCGAACGGUAACGCGGGGCAACCUGGCGACGAGUGGCGAACGGGUGAGUAAUGCAUCUGACCGUGCCCAGAAGUGGGGGAAUGCCCGGCGAAACCCGGAGUAAUACCGCAUGAGACCUGCGGGUGAAAGCGGGGGAUCGCAAGACCUCGCGCUUUCGGCCUCGCCGAUGUCAGAUUAGCUCGUUGGUGGGGUAAAGGCCUACGAAGGCGACGAUCAGUAGCUGGUCUGAGAGGACGACCAGCCACACUGGGACUGAGACACGGCCCAGACUCCUACGGGAGGCAGCAGUGGGGAAUGUUGGACAAUGGGCGCGAGCCUGAUCCAGCCAUGCCGCGUGCGGGAAGAAGGCCUUCGGGUUGUAAACCGCUUUUGUCAGGGAAGAAACGCUCUGGGCUAAUACCCUAGGGUAAUGACGGUACCUGAAGAAUGAGCACCGGCUAACUACGUGCCAGCCGCCGCCGUAA
rnacentral:rRNA from 1 species